AACUGUUGAGUCAGACGCGCCGAAUAUAUUCAGAAGAAGAAGAAGAAAGAAAAAUGGGAAUGGAAUUGCGUAGCCUCAAAGCCUCCUGCACCUCCUAUAAGAACACCACCCCAAAAAAAAAAACCAGGAUGCAGUCUUAUUAUUAUGAGAAAUUUGUGUAGGUGGGUUUGAAUUUAACAUCUCUUCUGAAAGGUGCGAAUAUCAGUUUAUAAUAUAUACAGACUGAAAUGUUGGGUUUGGAAAACAAAACAAAAAAAUGAAAGGAGGGGUGGUUGAAGGAACAGGAAGGGUGUGUGAGGAGUUCUCAGCUGGGUAUUAUGGGCUUUGCACUGUCGGGGGUAUGUUCAGUGCUGGUACUUCCCAUCUCGCCACCACUCCCUUUGAUGUUCUCAAAGUCAAUAUGCAGGUGAACCCAGUGAAGUACCACGGCAUCUCAUCAGGUUUGAGUACUCUGUGGAAGGAACAAGGCCCUUCUGGCCUUUGGAGAGGUUGGUCUGGCAAAUUCUGUGGAUAUGGUGUUCAAGGCGGAUGCAAAUUUGGUCUCUAUGAAUACUUUAAGAAGCUAUACUCCAAUGUGUUGGUAGAUCAUAACAAGAGUGUCAUAUUCUUUGCCAGCAGUGCAUCUGCUCAAGUAUUUGCUGAUGUGGCUCUCUGUCCAUUUGAAGCAGUCAAAGUCCGUGUUCAAACACAGCCCAAUUUUGCGAAGGGCUUGCUUGAUGGGUUUCCAAAAUUAUAUGCAUCUGAAGGGCUUUCUGGCUUUUAUAGGGGACUUAUUCCACUUUGGGGUCGUAAUAUCCCAUUCUCUAUGAUAAUGUUUUCAACAUUUGAGCACUCAGUGGGCUUCAUAUAUCGCAAUGUUACCCAAAGAAGAAAGGAAGAUUGCUCGAGAGCCCAGCAACUUGGUGUGACAUGUUUAGCAGGCUAUGCAGCUGGGGCUGUUGGUACCAUUAUCUCUAACCCUGCUGAUAAUGUUGUUUCCUCUCUUUACAACAAAAAGGCCGACACUGUGCUUCAGUUUGAUUUUUGUCUUUCAGGCUGUGAAGAACAUUGGGUUUGUCAAUUUGUUUACUAGAAGUCUUCCUAUUCGAAUCACACUUGUGGGGCCUGUUGUAACUAUGCAAUGGUUUUUCUAUGACACCAUUAAAGUUCUAAGUGGAUUGCCUACCAGUGGAGGGUAUAGCAUGGAUCUGGAAAAAGCUAUCUGAUCAAAGUACUGGAAUGAAAUACAAUAAUUCAAUCAUUUGCGAGCAUGGGAAAUCCAUCAUCCCUGCAUCAAAUAAUGGCAAGUGAUUGUAUAUUUUGGUAACACAAAGGGAAAUUGAUGGCUUAUCUACUUAGUAACAUCUAUCUCCCUUUAUUUUUUGUUCUGCAGUUCAUAUCUUGUUACAAGAUCUACCUCCCUUUAUUUUUGCUCCUUUGUAAAGUCUAGUUUAGCUGUUGUCUGCGUGAAUUUGCAGUCCAGCUACAUAGAUAUACUGCAAAUUGAUUUUAGUGACUAUAUAUGCAGUGAUUUUGUGUAAGAGAAACUAUAAACAACACAUUUUUCAUGGAAAUAUGUUAGUAUUCUCUAGUUAUUGAUUA